UACAGAGGGGGCAAGCGUUGUUCGGAAUUACUGGGCGUAAAGGGCGCGUAGGCGGCCUUCUAAGUCGAACGUGAAAUCCCCGGGCUCAACCCGGGAACUGCGUCCGAUACUGGAAGGCUUGAAUCCGGGAGAGGGAUGUGGAAUUCCAGGUGUAGCGGUGAAAUGCGUAGAUAUCUGGAGGAACACCGGUGGCGAAGGCGGCAUCCUGGACCGGCAUUGACGCUGAGGAGCGAAAGCCAGGGGAGCAAACAGG
rnacentral:rRNA from 1 species